GGUAGUAGCUCAGUGGUUAAGACAUUGGACUCUUGAUCUGAAGGUUGAGAGUUCAAGUCCCAGCACCG